GGUGGACUCUUAACAGUUUGGAAGACAUCUCUGGUUGACGGGUAAACCUUCCACGAAGGAAACUAUUCUCUCAGCACACUGCAUCAUCUCCGACAAGAUUCUCUAGACCAAUCGCAAUGGCUGUUAACUAAUGUCUACGGGCCCAGCGACCACUGCAAGAGAUCAGAUUUUUUCCAUGAAUUAGCAUCCAUUUGGAGUA
rnacentral:lncRNA from 1 species